AUUGAACGCUGGCGGCAUGCCUUACACAUGCAAGUCGAACGGCAGCACGGGUGCUUGCACCUGGUGGCGAGUGGCGAACGGGUGAGUAAUACAUCGGAACGUACCUUAUCGUGGGGGAUAACGCAGCGAAAGCUGUGCUAAUACCGCAUACGCCCUGAGGGGGAAAGCGGGGGAUCGAAAGACCUCGCGCGAUUAGAGCGGCCGAUGCCUGAUUAGCUUGUUGGUGGGGUAAAAGCCCACCAAGGCGACGAUCAGUAGCUGGUCUGAGAGGAGGAUCAGCCACACUGGGACAGGGACACGGCCCAGACUCCUACGGGAGGCCGCAGUGGGGAAUUUUGGACAAUGGGGGCAACCCUGAUCCAGCAAUGCCGCGUGAGUGAAGAAGGCCUUCGGGUUGUAAAGCUCUUUUGUCUGGGAAGAAACACCGGCUCUAACACAGUCCGGGAAUGACGGUACCUGAAGAAUAAGCACCGGCUAACUACGUGCCAGCCGCCGCGGUAA
rnacentral:rRNA from 1 species